GGGUAUCCUGAUCGGAUACCUCUCGAACUUCGCCUUCUCUGGCCUCUCUACCCACCUCGGAUGGCGGGUCAUGUUUGCCGUCGGAGCAAUACCGCCUAUUUUCCUGGCUGCCGGCGUCAUGUUUAUGCCGGAAUCUCCCCGAUGGCUCGUUAUGCAGGGACGGAUCGAGGACGCUCGCUGGGUCCUCGACAGAACUUCCGAUACACCGGAGGAGGCCGAUUUCCGGCUGUCAGAGAUACAGGAAGCCGCCAGGCUUCCUACCUCGACGGCCGCCGACGACCCGUCGGCCCCGUUGCUCAGCGGCCGUCGAGAAAGCGUCUGGCGGGAGUUGUUCGUUCC
rnacentral:misc_RNA from 1 species